rnacentral:rRNA from 1 species
AUACGUAGGGAGCGAGCGUUGUCCGGAAUUACUGGGUGUAAAGGGUGCGUAGGCGGGACGGCAAGUCAGAUGUGAAAUACCGGGGCUCAACCCCGGGGCUGCAUUUGAAACUGUCGUUCUUGAGUGAGGUAGAGGUAAGCGGAAUUCCUAGUGUAGCGGUGAAAUGCGUAGAUAUUAGGAGGAACAUCGGUGGCGAAGGCGGCUUACUGGGCCUUUACUGACGCUGAGGCACGAAAGCGUGGGGAGCAAACAGGAUUAGAUACCCUGGUAGUCCACGCUGUAAACGAUGAUGACUAGGUGUGGGGGGACUGAACCCUUCCGUGCCGCAGUUAACACAAUAAGUCAUCCACCUGGGGAGUACGGCCGCAAGGUUGAAACUCAAAUGAAUUGACGGGG